CCACUGACCUCUCCCUCUUUCUCCCCACAGGGACCCCCUGGCAAGGACGGGCUUCCUGGGCACCCUGGUCAGCGAGGAGAAGUCGGUUUCCAAGGCAAGACAGGCCCGCCCGGACCUCCGGGGGUGGUAGGACCUCAGGGUGCUCCCGGAGAGUCGGGUCCGCCG